rnacentral:rRNA from 1 species
CCCUAUGGGGUGGUUGACGAAACCCUUGUUCCAAGCGCCUUGAAGGUAUCCGUGUAUCCCAAUCCCUUUAGUCAAUCCACUACCCUGCGCUAUACUGCCAAAUCUGCCGAAGCGGCAAGAUUGACGAUCUUCGACCUGAAAGGCAGGAAGGUGAACGAAUUAACCCUUAAUCCGGCAUUUUUCGGAGAACAUAGGUUUGAUUGGGACGGACGUGAUCAAAACAGGCUUCCGCUGGCUUCCGGGGUCUAUUUUUAUCGCCUGCAGUCCGGCAAGAAUAUGGUUAUCGGCAAACUUCUGCUGCUGAAGUAAAAUGCUCCUUUGCGUCGAUCCCAUCCUAUACCCAUGCUUUACCCAUCCAAUAAACAUAGGGUAUGAUAUGGAGGGGUAAAGGUUUAGGAUCCUGGCGGGGGGGGC